UACGUAGGGGGCUAGCGUUGUCCGGAAUCAUUGGGCGUAAAGCGCGUGUAGGCGGUCCGGUAAGUCCGCUGUGAAAGUCGGGGGCUCAACCCUCGGAUGCCGGUGGAUACUGUCGGGCUUGAGUACGGAAGAGGCGAGUGGAAUUCCUGGUGUAGCGGUGAAAUGCGCAGAUAUCAGGAGGAACACCAAUUGCGAAGGCAGCUCGCUGGGACGUUACUGACGCUGAGACGCGAAAGCGUGGGGAGCAAUCAGG
rnacentral:rRNA from 1 species